rnacentral:SRP_RNA from 1 species
CCAUACCAGCCGGGGCGUCAGCGGUGCCUUGUACCUGCAAUCCGCUACAGCAGGGGUGGUUUCCUUUUAUGAGGUUUUGGCUCGUGUGGUCCGCUUUACAGACGGACGUUCAAUGACGGGCGGGUCUUGCGCAAUCGAACACUGUGAACCAUGUCAGGUGGGGAACCAAGCAGCAUUAAGCAGAGGCUUCGGUGUGUUGCAAGGGUGCCUGCCCCGAGGGUGUCCCUGUAUAGACGCGCAUGAGUCAGAAUCGAAUCUUGGGUGUAUGG